rnacentral:rRNA from 1 species
AUAUUGCGCAAUGGGGGGAACCCUGACGCAGCAACGCCGCGUGAAGGAAGAAGGUUUUCGGAUCGUAAACUUCUUUAAGUGUGGAAGAUAAUGACGGUACACACAGAAUAAGCCACGGCUAACUACGUGCCAGCAGCCGCGGUAAUACGUAGGUGGCAAGCGUUGUCCGGAAUUACUGGGUGUAAAGGGAGCGCAGGCGGGAAGCCAAGUCAGCUGUGAAAACUACAGGCUUAACUUGUAGACUGCAGUUGAAACUGGUUUUCUUGAGUGAAGUAGAGGUUGGCGGAAUUCCGAGUGUAGCGGUGAAAUGCGUAGAUAUUCGGAGGAACACCGGUGGCGAAGGCGGCCAACUGGGCUUUAACUGACGCUGAGGCUCGAAAGUGUGGGGAGCAAACAG